UUUCCGUAGGUGAACCUGCGGAAGGAUCAUUACAGAGUUCAUGCCCUCACGGGUAGAUCUCCCACCCUUGAAUAUUUAUACCUUAGUUGCUUUGGCAGGCCGUGGAAACACCACGGGCUCCGGCUUAUGCGUGCCUGCCAGAGGAAACAAACUCUGUUUUUAGUGAUGUCUGAGUACUAUAUAAUAGUUAAAACUUUCAACAACGGAUCUCUUGGUUCUG
rnacentral:misc_RNA from 1 species